rnacentral:lncRNA from 1 species
CCGCAGCUGCAAUUCAAGAAGAAGUGUUUACAAGGGCGUUAAGGCAGCUAGAGCUUCAAUCGGAUUUUGGUUAAGGGGUUCUCUUAGUCGGGCUGGCGACUUAAAAACUAGCGCUGCAUGGGAGGCAACCCAUGUUUUCUUGCUUUUUCUUGUUUUCGUUUUUCUUUCGUUUUGUUUGGGUUUGUGUUUCUGUUUUUUCUGUUGUUGGGUGCAGGUUGGUGCGUUGGAGAUUGUUUGUUCUAUGGAUGAGAGAUAGGCAGACAUCGUGGGAAACUACGGGCUCGCCACUUGGAUCGAUAUUCAGGGA